rnacentral:antisense_RNA from 1 species
AGGAGAGCCCGGCAGACGGAGCUGAUGUCUGGGUAGAGGGACCUGUGGUGGGAGAAAGAGAGAAGAUCAGAGUGGAGGGGAGAAGCAGGGUUGGGGCCUUGAAGGUACUGCUGAGCAUCUGGGUCCUUAUCCUUACCCUGCAUUGCCCGCAGGCCUGACCUUUGCUUCAUUCUUCAUGGCUGCGCAGUGAGAGUGUGGCCCCUGCAGAUGGUUGGAUCAUCCAUCCAGUUCUUUGCUUCCUCUAGCUGAUAUCCUUCUUUGCUGUACUAUAUGGGAAAAGCAAGAAAUAUUUGACACCAAAAUUGCUUCGUUUGUGUGGCCCCGUAUUGCCCUGUAUAGAAGCAUUUCAUCUUCACAACAACUCUAUGAGCAGUGUGAAGAUGGACUAAUACAAAGAGGAACUAGGGGAGCUUGGAGGAACCACAGAGACUCAAUCAGGGAUUCAGGUGAAGUCUCUGUUGCAAACUCUUGAGCAGGCGAGAACCCCUGGACUCUUGCAGGGGACGUGGGAGGAGCUGUACAUACAGACAGUGAUGUCCAACCAAUGUGGGUUCAAACCCUGCAUCUGUCACCGGCUAUGUGACAUUGAUCAAGUUCCUUAAGGUCUCCAGGUUUGUUUUCUUAUCUGUAAGAUGAGAAUCCUCUUCUGCAAACCAUGUCUGUUUAAAAUACAUGCUUAUUUUGAAAGUGAUGUAGCAAUGUUUUCUCUAGUUAAUGUUCUUUCUCACUCAUAAUUUGAAAACAUUUAUUCAUGACUAACUAUAAUAUUAAAUCUGUGACUUUGUUUUUGCUAAAUGUCCAUCUCAGAGAAGAAUAUGACUUUAUACAGCUAAGUAUUUUUUUAAAAAAAUAAGCCUUAGUAAAGCAUAUUUGCAAUAAAAAUAUUUGACAAUCCUAA